rnacentral:rRNA from 1 species
UACGUAGGGUGCAAGCGUUAUCCGGAAUUAUUGGGCGUAAAGAGCUCGUAGGCGGUUUGUCGCGUCUGCUGUGAAAACCCGAGGCUCAACCUCGGGCCUGCAGUGGGUACGGGCAGACUAGAGUGCGGUAGGGGAGAUUGGAAUUCCUGGUGUAGCGGUGGAAUGCGCAGAUAUCAGGAGGAACACCGAUGGCGAAGGCAGAUCUCUGGGCCGUAGCUGACGCUGAGGAGCGAAAGCGUGGGGAGCGAACAGG